rnacentral:rRNA from 1 species
GUUAGUGCAAUGGCAUAAGCCAGCUUGACUGCGAGCGUGACGGCGCGAGCAGGUGCGAAAGCAGGUCAUAGUGAUCCGGUGGUUCUGAAUGGAAGGGCCAUCGCUCAACGGAUAAAAGGUACUCCGGGGAUAACAGGCUGAUACCGCCCAAGAGUUCAUAUCGACGGCGGUGUUUGGCACCUCGAUGUCGGCUCAUCACAUCCUGGGGCUGAAGUAGGUCCCAAGGGUAUGGCUGUUCGCCAUUUAAAGUGGUACGCGAGCUGGGUUUAGAACGUCGUGAGACAGUUCGGUCCCUAUCUGCCGUGGGCGCUGGAGAAUUGAGGGGGGCUGCUCCUAGUACGAGAGGACCGGAGUGGACGCAUCACUGGUGUUCGGGUUGUCAUGCCAAUGGCACUGCCCGGUAGCUAAAUGCGGAAGAGAUAAGUGCUGAAAGCAUCUAAGCACGAAACUUGCCCCGAGAUGAGUUCUCCCUGACUCCUUGAGAGUCCUGAAGGAACGUUGAAGACGACGACGUUGAUAGGCCGGGUGUGUAAGCGCAGCGAUGCGUUGAGCUAACCGGUACUAAUGAACCGUGAGGCUUAACCUUACAACGCCGAAG